UUUCCGUAGGUGAACCUGCGGAAGGAUCAUUCCCAAUAAGUGUUUUAUGGCUCUUUUUCAAUCCAUAUCCACCUUGUGUGCAAUGUUGUCUUGUAACGCGAAUGCUUGUCAUUCGCGCUACAGAAUGUAAACAUCAACUCUUAUUUUUAACAACUUUGUCUGAAAACCUGUAUGAAUACUUUAUUCAAAUACAACUUUCAACAACGGAUCUCUUGGCUCUC
rnacentral:misc_RNA from 1 species